ACCUGUCAAGUUGUUAUAAGAAAAAUCAAUAAUUUCUAGAGAAAUUAUAUUUCCGAUAACUGAUGGAAUUUAUGGUACCUGAAAGAGAAUUAUAAUCCAGAUAUAACCAUUCCAAUUUUGACAAAUUGCCAAGAGUGGACGGGAUAACACCAGUGAAGUUGUUCAUGUACAAAAGCAAGCCUUGAAGUUUAGUGAAGGAAC